CUUUUUUGUCUUUUCAGGGCCUCACCUGCAGCAUAUGCAAGUUCCCAGGCUAGUGGGCGAAUCGGAAAUGUAGCUGCCAGCCUACACCACAGCCACAGCAACCCCAGAUCUGAGUAGCAUCUGUGACCUACAGAUCCUUAACUCGCUGAGCGAGGCCAGGGAUCGAACCCACGUCCUCAAGGACGCUAGUCGGGUUCAUUACCAUUAAGCCACAUUGGGAACUCCCACAGGUUUCUAAUAUGGAACAGGUGGCAGGGAGAAUUAAGCAAGAUGAAGAAUGGGAAAAAGAGUAAAUAUUCUCAACCCUCGGGGGUCCUUUCUCUAUCCCCAGACUCUCAGACCAGCCGGAAUCUGAUUAUAAAUACAGUCUUUCUGUUGCAUCUAUUCUUUCGCCUUUCUUUCUCCUGGGACAGUGACAACAGGGACUCUUGGUGGCUUUCCUUGUGCCUGGCAGACAUGGCAGGAUGUGGUCCUGGGAGGCUCUGGCUCCCAGUACGGGGAUCGGUAGUUGAAGAGGAGCCAAACCUAGCUGUGGCAGUGGGGUUGGCGGCGUCUCUGCAGCAGGCCCGGCACAGUUUGCGUAGGUCCCAGCUGCGGCAAGGAUCUUAUCCCGGCCCGGGACCUCCGUAUGCCCCGGGGUGGCCAGAAAAGGGAAAAAAGAGAGUGAGUGAGAGGCUAAACUUAUAUCAGUGGCCGCUUCUCUGGGAAGUAUGUCUCCCCUCCCAGAAGGCAGAAAAUCAGACUUCAAGUUUACCGUCUUGCUUUUAAGGCAGCGCGUCUGCAGUAACUCUACUGCCCACGUCUCAGUUUCGUCCCCUUGACAUUUUGUCAGUCCCAAGAUGCGUGGUUUUCUGGAGUCUCUUACCAUCGCUGGCAUCCACGGCAGCAUUUGCCCCUUGGUACAGCGGAGGGAGUCUUGCUUGGAGUGGUGAAAUAUGGUGUUAUUUUAACACACGGCAAGGCCAUGUUGAGCUGUAUCUUUAGCAGUCGUCGUGGACUCGUGGUGGUAUAUUCAACGGAUCGUCAAAUUCAACAUUUUAUGUUGAAUAUUUCUUUUAAAAGUUAUUGUGUAUUCAUUUUGGAUAAAGUAUUGUUAUGCAUUUAUUCUAAUGAAAAUAGUUUAACAUUUAUUGAGCACAUUAUGUGUCCGACAUUGUUCUAAGAUCUCUACGUGUGUUAGCUAAUUUAGUCUGCACAAUAACCUCGUGAAUUAAUUACUGUUAUCCUUAGCUGUCAGAUGACACAGAGAUUAAGUAAUUUCCUAUGGUCACACAGCUACUAAGUGGCAGCGCCCGGAUUCAGGCCCAGGCACUGGAGCUCCAGAACAUCCGUGCUCUCUAUUACAUUUAUCUUUAUUUUCUUUAGCUACAUAGGGGUGAGUCAGUUCUUAGGUUUUUUUCCAGCAUUUACUUUAUUUUUUUUCUGGGCCACUCCCGCAGCGUGUGGAAGUUACAGGCCAGGGAUUGAACCUGUGCCAGAUCCUUAGCCUGCUGAGCCACUGGGGAACUCCCCAAGACACAGUUUCAUUAUAGCUUUAUUUGCUAUAUCAUCAUCAUUGUCUACUUGUUUUAAAAUAGGGUUUAGGGUUUAAGAAAAAAGCCUUUUGUUUUUUUAAAUUUUUUUCAUUAUAGCUGGUUUACAGUGUUCUGUCAGUUUUCCACUGUACAGCACGGUGACCCAGUCACACAUGCAUGUACACAUUCUUUUUUCUCCCAUUAUCCUGCUCCAUCAUAAAUGACGAGACGUAGUUCCCACGCUACACAGCAGGAUCUCAUUGCCUGUCCAUUCCAAAGGCAGUAGUCUGCAUCUAUGAACCCCAAGUUCCCCAUCCAUCCCACUCCCUCCCCCUCCCCUUUGGCAACCACAAGUCUGUUCUCCAAAUCCAUGAGUUUCUUUUCUGUGGAAAGGUUCCUUUGUGCCGUGUAUUAGAUCCAGAUAUAAGUGAUAUCACGUGGUAUUUGUCUUUCUCUUUCUGACUUACUUCACUCAGGAUGAGAGUCUCUAGUUCCAUCCAUGUUGCUGCAAAGGAAAAAAGUCUUUUAACAACUCCAUUGUGGCUCAGUUGGUUAAGAACCAGACAUAGUGUCCAUGCGGAUGCCAGUUCAGUCCAUGGCCUUGCUAAGUGGGUUAAGGAUUUGGUGUUGCCACAAGCUGCAGUGUAGGUCACAGAUGUGGCUUGGAUCCGGUGUUGCUGUGGCUGCCAUGUAGGCUGGCAGCUGAAGCUCCAUAUCAAACCUUAGCCCAGGAACUUCCAUAUGCCGCAGGCACAUCUGUAGAAAGAAAAGUCUAGAGCCCGUGUAAAUUAUAUUUAUAGGGAAAAAUCAUUUUUUUAAACAUCAAAUAUCUUUGUUCCUAUGGUUAUUUUGGAACAAUGUUCAAUUUUUGCUUAAUAAUCUAAUGACUUCUUUUUAGUGUCCUUUAUCCCAUUAUUACUCAUGGAUUAGGCCAUUACAUUAAAGUUUGUACAUAAAUUGGAUAUAUUCACUUUAUUUGCAGUCCUAUCGUCUUUCCUAUAGUGGCCGUUCUGUGGUCGGCGUUAGACUGUAUCACCAUGGGAGGUGCUCGGUGUUAGGUUACAAUCUGAAAUAGCACUGUACGUAUUUUCUUUAUAUUCUAUUAUUGAACAGUGUUAAUGCUUAGUAAAUAUGAAUAGAUGAGUAAUAUAUGUACUUACAAAGUCAUGACUGCAGCAGAGUUUUGUUUUUUGUUGUGUGUUUUUUUAAUGAUUCUAGUCGCUGUCUUCUAAUAAGAAAAGGAAAGAAAAUAGGCAAAAUGGGACCCUUCGUCUUUCACGAUGACUAGUUGCUAAAGAUAAGGGGACCGAGAUCCAGAAACAUACACCUUUUCCAUAACAACCGUCCAUGAGGUGUUUAUCACUCGCUCCUAAGACUCUUGGCAUUAUCAGCAUCAUCUUCAUUUUGAGAAAACUAAAGAUUUGGGAGUCUGAGACCUCUCCCCACCCCGCCCAAGGUCACUGAGCUAGGAAACAGAACAAAGACACCAACCCUCCUUUGCUGACUCCAAGUCUGGUGAUUUUCCCACCGCGGUGCCUGAUUCCCUCAGCCCGGUACCCAUCACGCUGUCUUCCGUGGGUCUCUGUGCCUCGGUUUCCACGCUGCGUUGUUGUAGAAAAUGUGCGUGGUGAGUGUUGAACACAUCUGAGCCGUCACGCUCUGCCGAGUGAGUCCCGGGUUUUCCCACCGAAGCCCGGUCUCCUUCCUCCGUCCUUCCCCUGAACCUGCACCCUCGAUGCUGAAGGAGUCCGGAUCCGUGGGCCCCCUGGGCCUCUAAGUCCUUGUGCAUCUCAGAACCCGUCGCCUGGCUGGCCACACCGUCCUCACUGACCGGGUCUCCUGCACCGAGCUCGUCCAUUAGGAUGGACAGAACCAACGCGAAGUAUUUACACUGGUGCUGGCGGGGGAGGGAGAGAGUGUGUGUGUGCACGUGCAUGUGUGUGUUUAAAUGUGACUUCGGCAGAUGGCUGAUCUGAUCAGUCCCGUCCCUGAAAUGGUGAGUCAGUCGGUCAGUACACUGCGGGUGACAUGAGGACGGAGUCUCGGGCGGCCUGGGUCUGCUGUUUCUCCGCUGGCCAUUACGAGUCGGCUUUCGUUUCUUCGUCUAUUAGAAGCCCUCAGUGUCUGGCACGGCUUCCCCAGUGCUUAUUACAUGUUAGUCACUUGCAAACAGUCGCUCCCUGUCUUUGCAAUAAUCUGGAGAUGCAGAUAUUUUGCCUGUCUCACAAAUGGCAAAACCAGAGCUGAGAGAAGGGAAAAACCUUGCCCCAUGUCUCACAGCCUUUCCAUGUUAGAGCAGAAGCUUGAGUCCAGCUCUGACACCAAAGCCGACUCACGUAUCCCCAGCCACGCCUUCCUUUCCAAGGACGAUGUCAACGCGGUUUGCAGACCCCCAGGUAGUGGCCAAGGGGCUCCUGAGCGCAGAGGGAGAGGAAAACCUGCCGGUCACUUAGGCCCGCCGCCCGGCGCUCACAGCUGAGCAUGUUGCAAAGUGGUCAUGUUGUGACAGGUACCUUUGUGCUGCAUCGAGUGGUUUGCCUUCACCCCGCUUUCAGCUUCAUUUUAUCUUUGUCUUGGCUCAGGCCGCCGUAACAAAGCACCAUAGACUGACCAUAGGCUUAUAAACAGCAGAGAUCUGUGUCUCACGGUUCUGGAGCUUGGAAGUCCAAGAUCAGGGUACCAGCCUCUUGUCGCUGCACCCUCAUCACGAGAAACCAGGAGUGUUUCCCUCCAGGACCUCCAGGUGCCGUUCAGACCUCAAAGCAGCCAGCGCACCUCCUAGAAUUCAGUCUUCAGACCCUGUCCGCUCCCCGGGGACGGAGAGUGGGACCGGAAGUUCCAGGCUUUAAUUGUGGUUUGGUCUUUCUUCUGAGCAGCCCCAGCCUGAUGCUUAUCCGGGCGCCACCAAGAGGCACCCUUAGAACAAAAGACUGUCCGAUCACCCGGGGAAGCCCCGAGGAGUUUAGGGCUCUGCGUCAGGAACGUGGGCCAAAGAUCCUAUUUCUGUUUCUCACUGUGUCACUCUAAUAAAGCAAAUAUCCAUGAGCCACAGCAAGUUGAAGAAGUAGGAGCAGCCAGUAUCUUAGAAGUCCUUCGUGUGUCUCUUCUGGAAGUGCCUGCAAACACCACUCUCUUGCCUCUUGUGACCGACCCUUCCUUGCGUACCCUUACGUGGUUCCGUCUUAUGCGUGUGCCCACGAACAAGUGUACCUGGUCUGGACCUCAUGUCAGUGAAGUCAUACUGUCAGUGUUUAUCCUUGACGUGCUUCUUUCAUGACACACCGUGAGGCUUAUCCCAGGGGACGAACGUAGGUGUCAUUCGGGACUUUUCACUGCAGAGUAGUAGUCCGUCCUGUAACUAGGUAUCUCGUAUCUGUCUUGCUGCAUAUUGUUUUCAACGUGGAUUGCAAAGUUUGCCUGGGUAUGUGUUACCCAUCUCCUGUUGUACACGUGCAAGAGUUUGAACUUUUUGGAUGUGAGGUUUUUCUAAUAAGGAUUUGUAUUUUUUUCUAU
rnacentral:lncRNA from 1 species